rnacentral:lncRNA from 1 species
AUGUGGCUGUUGACUUCGUCAGGAGUCACCACUGCCACCAAAGGCUCUGCUCUGAGAGCCACUUCAGCAGGAGACAUGGAAUGGAAAAAGCCCUUUUGCUUCAGCUCAGCAGAACCCAGAGCAAGAGCCUCUGGUGCCUUCAGAGGAAGACGGAUGAACACAGAGGAGAUGCCUUUUGAAUGAGAAAUUAGAUCCUCUUGAAGAAUAAAAGGAUGCUGUGUUCGAGAGCGGUAGCGUUUUUAUGAAGACAUGUAAUUAAAGGAAGCCAUUAAAGA